GCCCACCUGAUAGCUCAGUCGGCAGAACAUGAGACUAUUAAUCUCAGGGUCACGGGUUCGAGUUCCACAUUGGGCA